GAUGAACGCUAGCGGCAGGCCUAACACAUGCAAGUCGAGGGAGAGGUUAUCUUCGGGUAACCAAAACCGGCGCACGGGUGCGUAACGCGUAUACAAUCUGCCUUUCACAUAGGGAUAGCCCGAAGAAAUUUGGAUUAAUACCUAAUGGUAUAUAAGAGCGGCAUCGUUUUUAUAUUAAAGCUACGGUGGUGAAAGAUGAGUAUGCGUUCUAUUAGCUAGUUGGAGAGGUAACGGCUCCCCAAGGCGACGAUAGAUAGGGGUUCUGAGAGGGAUGUCCCCCACACUGGUACUGAGAUACGGACCAGACUCCUACGGGAGGCAGCAGUGAGGAAUAUUGGACAAUGGUCGGAAGACUGAUCCAGCCAUGCCGCGUGCAGGAUGAAGGUCCUAUGGAUUGUAAACUGCUUUUGUAAGGGAAGAAUAAGGAGUACGUGUACUUUGAUGACGGUACCUUACGAAUAAGCAUCGGCUAACUCCGUGCCAGCAGCCGCGGUAAUACGGAAGAUGCGAGCGUUAUCCGGAAUCAUUGGGUUUAAAGGGUCCGUAGGCGGGCUGAUAAGUCAGAGGUGAAAGCGCUUAGCUCAACUAAGCAACUGCCUUUGAAACUGUCAGUCUUGAAUGAUUGUGAAGUAGUUGGAAUGUGUAGUGUAGCGGUGAAAUGCUUAGAUAUUACACAGAACACCGAUAGCGAAGGCAUAUUACUAACAAUUUAUUGACGCUGAUGGACGAAAGCGUGGGGAGCGAACAGG
rnacentral:rRNA from 1 species